UACGUAGGGUGCGAGCGUUGUCCGGAAUUAUUGGGCGUAAAGAGCUCGUAGGCGGUUUGUUGCGUCGGCCGUGAAAACCUGCAGCUUAACUGUGGGCCUGCGGCCGAUACGGGCAGACUUGAGUUCGGUAGGGGAGACUGGAAUUCCUGGUGUAGCGGUGAAAUGCGCAGAUAUCAGGAGGAACACCCGUGGCGAAAGCGGCUCUCUGGAACGGUACUGACGCUGAGACGCGAAAGCGUGGGGAGCGAACAGG
rnacentral:rRNA from 1 species